GGGGCCAAUGGCGCUGCUUACCAUGCAGUCGGACGAGGUGCGCGGCUUCGGCUUCGUUACCUAGUGGCGGACGGGUGACUUUGCGUGGGAACCUGCCCUGGAGUGGGGAAUAACCACUGGAAACGGUGGCUAAUACCGCAUACGCCCCCCUUGGUGAAACUUGGGGGGGAAAGGCUUCGGCCGCUUUAGGAUGGGCCCGCGUCCGAUUAGCUAGUUGGUGAGGUAAUGGCUUACCAAGGCGACGAUCGGUAGCUGGUCUGAGAGGAUGAUCAGCCACACUGGGACUGAGACACGGCCCAGACUCCUACGGGAGGCAGCAGUGGGGAAUAUUGGACAGUGGGGGCAACCCUGAUCCAGCAAUGCCGCGUGAGUGAAGAAGGCCUUAGGGUUGUAAAGCUCUUUCACCCGUGAAGAUGAUGACGGUAGCGGGAGAAGAAGCCCCGGCUAAUUCCGUGCCAGCAGCCGCGGUAAUACGGAAGGGGCUAGCGUUGUUCGGAAUUACUGGGCGUAAAGAGCGCGUAGGCGGCUCUUCAAGUUAGGCGUGAAAGGCCUGGGCUCAACCUGGGAACUGCGUUUAAUACUGGAGAGCUUGAGUCCGGGAGAGGGUGGUGGAAUUCCCAGUGUAGAGGUGAAAUUCGUAGAUAUUGGGAGGAACACCAGUGGCGAAGGCGGCCACCUGGCCCGGAACUGACGCUGAGGCGCGAAAGCGUGGGGAGCAAACAGGAUUAGAUACCCUGUUAGUCCACGCCGUAAACGAUGAGUGCUAGAUGGUCGGGAGCUUGCUCUUCGGUGUCGCAGCUAACGCGUUAAGCACUCCCCCGGGGGAGUACCGGCCGCAGGGUAAAACUUAAAGGAAUUGCCG
rnacentral:rRNA from 1 species